UGCACAUAUGCAAUCAUAAAAACAUAUUCUGUUGACAUUCAAAAUUUGGCAGGGUUAUAUUCAUGUCUCUUUCUAUUUCUUUAGUUUUCUAAGGCCAACCCCUACACUGUAAACUAAACGACGUCACUGAACUCCCCACCAAAGAAACCUAGCUUCGAAAUCCAACAGAAUACUCAAUACAGGCUCAAGCUCCAUACCCUUGGGCAGAUUACAGUCGACUGUUGUUGACCGUGGUCAACAGCCAUACCCAGUCAUCGUACAAGAAAUUUUUUCAACCACUUUUUUUUCUGCAGUUUCUGAUUUAAAAAUAAGUCACCACUUAAAUAUUUUUCGUGUACAAGCAAAUUUUAUGGUGUUAGUGAUUUUUUCAAAAUUGAAUUUAAGUGUUAUAUUGUGAUAAUAAUACAUUUCUGUCUACUAUAAAUAUGUCAACAAAUUAUACAUACCAGAUCGGCCCAAAACUAUGUAUGAUCUAUAUAAAAUCUAUACAUAUUGUAUACAAAUUUUAUGUAUAAACUAUAUCAUACUUUUUCACGUGAGUUGUACAUUAACUGGACAACCGUCUAGAAUUGGAGGACACUAACACCCAGGACCGCCUGCCGAGAAUCUUCAUGUACGGGCUUGAGAUACGAUCAUAGAUUAUACAUACCAGAUCGGCCCAAAACUAUGUAUGAUCUAUAUAAAAUCUAUACAUAUUGUAUACAAAUUUUAUGUAUAAACUAUAUCAUACUUUUUCACGUGAGUUGUACAUUAACUGGACAACCGUCUAGAAUUGGAGGACACUAACACCCAGGACCGCCUGCCGAGAAUCUUCAUGUACGGGCUUGAGAUACGAUCAUAGAAUGGGCCAUGACCGUUGCUCGUCGUGCAGGUUUGCAACAACAACCAAGACGAAUGUACAUGAAAUCGAUGACUGAAAAAAUUGGUGCGAUAAAACGUAUCUUCUGGAACGAACAACGUAAUUAAGAUAAAUGUUAAAACUUUCUUUUUUUUUAUUUUACACAUUAUUAAAUAUUUUUUGAAGAAAUAUUAAAAGUAUUAAAAAAAGUACAAGUUGUUGUUACCAACAGAAAUCUACCGGCAGAUUCAAGAACCCACCGCAAGGUGUCCUCUAAAGCGGUCAUACUAAAUUGGAGGAUGCGUUCAAACAAAAAACAAAAAGUUUAAUUUUAAUAAAGUAUAAGAAUAUAAUUUUUUCGAUAAUAAAGAGAAUUAAAAAUUUAAUUAAUUAAAAAUAAAAAAACAGUUUAGAAUUGAAAUAUAUAAUUUUGGAAUUAUUCCUAAUAUAAAAAGGACAAACAUCAUCGGUCUUCCGGACAUUUGAUUGGUCAUUGUUUUUUUCUCACUUACUCUCAUACAAAUUUCUUUCUGUUUGCUUUUUUCUAUUAUUUUUUUAUUUAUUUCGUUAGCAACGAAAAAACAACAAAAAAAAGCGAGUAAACAAAAUUUGUUUUGAUACUUUUUAUAUAUUUUUUUUUAAAAUUGACAUAUUAAGAUAGCACAACUUUUUUAUUAAUUAUUAGAUCUUGAUGCAAUUGGGCUUGAAAUUUUGUGCGAAUUAUGUGUUUUUUAUGUGUGAAGAAAUAAAUUUGAAAGAAAAUUUUUUUAAAUAUUUUUUAUAUUUUUUUAAAAAAUUGACAUAUUAAGCUAGCACAACUUUUUUAAUAAUCAUCGGAUCUCGAUGCAAUUGGGCUUAAAAUUUUGUGCGAAUUAUGUGUUUUUCAUGUGUGAAGAAAUAAAUUUGAAAGAAAAUUUUUUUUUUAUUUUUUACAUUUUUUUAAAAAAUUCAAAUAUUAAGCUAGCACAACUUUCUCAAUAAUCAUCGGAUCUCGAUGCAAUCGGGCUUAAAAUUUUGUGCGAAUUAUGUGUUUUUUAUGUGUGAAGAAAUAAAUUUGAAAGAAAAUUUUUUUAAAUAUUUUUUAUAUUUUUUAAAAAAAUUCAAAUAUUAAGCUAGCACAACUUUCUCAAUAAUCAUCGGAUCUCGAUGCAAUUGGGCUUAAAAUUUUCUGCGAAUUAUGUGUUUUUUAUGUGUGAAGAAAUAAUUCAAAAACAAAAUUUUUUCAAAUAUUUUUUAUAUUUUUUUUUAAUAUUGACAUAUUAAGGUAGCACAACUUUUUCAGUAAACAUUUAAUCUUGAUGUUAUUAGACUAAAAAUUACGUGUGAAUUAUGUGUGAUUUAUGUGUAAAUAAAUAAAUUUAAAAAAUUUUUCGUCAAUUUAUUUAUUCUUUUAUUUUUUUAUGAUAAUACUUGUGUUAAUAAAAUCAAUGAACAAUGAACCUUUUAGAAGGUAUAGAUACAGGCGCGCGUAGCGCGCCAAUGUGCUCGU